CCUACGGGUGGCAGCAGUGAGGAAUAUUGGUCAAUGGGCGCGAGCCUGAACCAGCCAAGUCGCGUGAAGGAAGACUGCCCUACGGGUUGUAAACCUCUUUUAUCAAGGAAUAAAGUGAGGCACGUGUGCCUUUUUGUGAGUACUUUAAGAAAAAGGAUCGGCUAACUCCGUGCCAGCAGCCGCGGUAAUACGGAGGAUGCGAGCGUUAUCCGGAUUUAUUGGGUUUAAAGGGAGCGUAGAUGGGUUGUUAAGUCAGUUGUGAAAGUUUGCGGCUCAACCGUAAAAUUGCAAUUGAUACUGGAAGUCUUGAGUACAGUUGAAGUAGGCGUAAUUCGUGGUGUAGCGGUGAAAUGCUUAGAUAUCACGAAGAACUCCGAUUGCGAAGGCAGCUUACUAAACUGCCACUGACAUUGAUGCUCGAAAGUGUGGGUAUCAAACAGGAUUAGAUACCCGUGUAGUC
rnacentral:rRNA from 1 species